rnacentral:rRNA from 1 species
UACGUAGGGGGCAAGCGUUGUCCGGAUUUAUUGGGCGUAAAGAGCGUGUAGGCGGUUAGGUAGGUCCGUUGUGAAAACUCGAGGCUCAACCUCGAGACGCCGAUGGAAACCAUCUGACUAGAGUCCGGAAGAGGAGAGUGGAAUUCCUGGUGUAGCGGUGAAAUGCGCAGAUAUCAGGAGGAACACCAAUUGCGAAGGCAGCUCGCUGGGACGUUACUGACGCUGAGACGCGAAAGCGUGGGGAGCAAACAGG